rnacentral:rRNA from 1 species
UGCUUCAGGCCUAACACAUGCAAGUCGAACGUGAAGCAGGAGCUUGCUCCUGUGGAAAGUGGCAGACGGGUGAGUAACGCGUGGGAAUCUACCAGCUCUACGGAAUAACGCAGGGAAACUUGUGCUAAUACCGUAUACGUCCUCCGGGAGAAAGAUUUAUCGGAGUUGGAUGAGCCCGCGUUAGAUUAGUUUGUUGGUGGGGUAACGGCCUACCAAGACUACGAUCUAUAGCUGGUCUGAGAGGAUGAUCAGCCACACUGGGACUGAGACACGGCCCAGACUCCUACGGGAGGCAGCAGUGGGGAAUAUUGCACAAUGGGCGCAAGCCUGAUGCAGCCAUGCCGCGUGAGUGAAGAAGGCCUUAGGGUUGUAAAACUCUUUCAUCGGUGAAGAUAAUGACGGUAGCCGAAGAAGAAGCCCCGGCUAACUCCGUGCCAGCAGCCGCGGUAAUACGGAGGGGGCGAGCGUUGUUCGGAAUUACUGGGCGUAAAGCGCACGUAGGCGGAUUGGUCAGUUGGGGGUGAAAUCCCGAGGCUUAACCUCGGAACUGCCCUCAAUACUGCCAAUCUAGAGAUCGGAAGAGGUAAGUGGAAUUCCUAG